AUUGAACGCUGGCGGCAGGCCUAACACAUGCAAGUCGAACGAGUGGCGGACGGGUGAGUAAUGUCUGGGAAACUGCCCGAUGGAGGGGGAUAACUACUGGAAACGGUAGCUAAUACCGCAUACCAUCGGAUGUGCCCAGAUAGGUUUAGCUUGUAGGUGAGGUAACGGCUCACCUAGGCGACGCACCCUAGCUGGUCUGAGAGGAUGACCAGACACACUGGAACUGAGACACGGUCGUGACUCCGCCGGGAGGCAACAGUGGGGAAUAUUGCACAAUGGGAGCAAGCCUGAUAGAGUGGUGCCGGGUGUAUGAAGAAGGCCUUCGGGUUGUAAAGUACUUUCAGCGGGGAGGCGUUACCCGCAGAAGAAGCACCGGCUAACUCCGUGCCAGCAGCCGCGGUAAUAC
rnacentral:rRNA from 1 species